ensembl:ncRNA F47B10.11 ncRNA
UGUGUGUCUCACGUUGGAACGGCAUGCAAGAAGGACACAACAACGCUGCACACUACACGCAGAUG